UACGGGGGGGGCAAGCGUUGUUCGGAAUUACUGGGCGUAAAGGGCUUGUAGGUGGCCAACUAAGUCAGACGUGAAAUCCCACGGCUUAACCGGGGAACUGCGUCUGAUACUGGAUGGCUUGAGUGUGGGAGAGGGAUGCGGAAUUCCAGGUGUAGCGGUGAAAUGCGUAGAUAUCUGGAAGAACACCAGUGGCGAAGGCGGUUUUCUAGCUUAUACCUGACGCUGAGGAGCGAAAGCGUGGGGAGCGAACAGG
rnacentral:rRNA from 1 species